AUUAUGACGAGCAAAAAUCAAAAUAAAGAAUUUUUAGGUCGGCCCGUUGGAGCUCGACUGGAUCCUUAGGGAUCAGCUCUCUGUGGCAUUCUUGUGACAGGCUGCGUUAGAACGUUCGUGCUGCGAUUUGCCACUCGCCGGUGCUGCCGAUUCUUCAAUUUUACCUAUUGCCGUCUCCUCUGCGCCUAUUCUGCUCUUCCCUAUAUUUUCCCGUGCAAGCUAGCGAGGGAGAGAGACCAGAGUUGCUGUCGGUUUGAGUAAGAGAAGACAUGAACCUGUUGCCCUACGCCCGUCGCUUUUCGUCUUCUCUUUUCUCUCCUCCCUCCCUCCACCCGACUAUUCCCAUCUCUUUUGGGUUGUAGUCUGUUGUGCAGGAGGUGGUUAGGCCGCCGAUUUCCACCUCCUUAACGUUCUUCGUCCUCCAGUGUGCUGAGGCGGAGAACUGAAAUUUGCUUAGGGCAUAAUGGAUGAUGUUAAUUAGUAAAUGGUUUUGGAUUUUCUUAACCAUGUAUUUGAAAGAUGGACCUUCAUUAUUGUUGAAGGCUCAAAGGCCAGCAAUUACUGUGAUCUUGAACACCAGUGUAACUUCUGAGCAUCAACAAGCCAGUGAUCCAAGAUAUCCUCCUCUAAGAGAGGUUGAGGUACUCCGGAGAUUACAGCAAGAAACAAGCAUUAGUGUUGCAUUUGAGUACUUUAAAUCUGUGUUUGGUUCUAGGCUUUUUCAACACACUUCUAGAACAUACCAAAUUAUGAUUGAGAAGCUUGGUAGGGAAAAUAAAAUGGAUGCUAUUCAGUACCUUCUUCAGCAGAUGAAGCUGGAAGGCCUUGCCUGCACUGAAGAUAUCAUGAUCAGCGUCAUAAGUUCUUACGCGAGUUUCGGGUCCGCUGAUCAGGCCCUUAAAACAUUCUACCGUAGCGGCGAUCUUGGUUGCAAGCCUACAGUGAAGAUAUACAAUCACCUUUUGGAUGCUUUACUCAAGGAAAACAUGUUCAACGCAAUUAGCCCAAUCUACAUUAACAUGAAGAAAGAUGCAAUACUGCCAAAUGUUUUCACAUAUAAUGUACUUAUCAAGGCUUUGUGCCAGAAUAACCGUUUUGAUGCUGCUUAUAAACUUCUUGAGGAAAUGUCGAAUAAAGGUGAUUUACCAGAUUCUGUAAGUUACACUACAUUAGUAACUUAUCUUUGUUCAUCUGGGAGAUUGGAGGAGGCAAUAAAGUUGGUUAAAAUGAUAAACCCCACCGUCCAAACGUAUAAUGCUCUGAUAAAUGGAUUGUGUAAAGAAUCAAGAAUUAAGGAAGCUUUGCAUGUGGCUUUUGGCAUGGAAGAUACGGCGCUGCGGCCCAAUGUAAUCACUUAUACCACAAUGGUUAAUGCACUCUGUAAGACUGGGAAUCUGAGACUCUCUCUUGCUAUUUUAGCCAAGAUGUUCAUGAGAUGUUGCGCGCCCAAUAUGUAUACUUUUGCUUCACUGCUGAAAGGUUUCUUUGAGAAUGGUAAAGUACAUGAAGCUAUUGAUAUUUGGAAUCAACUAAUUCAAGAUGGGCACAUUCCUAAUCUUAUAACAUACAAUAUUCUCAUUCAUGGCCUUUGUUUGAAUGGAAAUCUAAAGAAGGCAAUGGAUGUGUUAGAUGAGAUGGAUCAAAAUGGAUGUUCUCCAAAUGUUAGUUCAUAUGGCACACUCAUUGAAGGUUUCUCAAAAACAGGAGACAUUGAAGGCGCCUCUUUGAUGUGGAAUAGGAUGAUAGAAAGUGGUUUCAACCCAAAUGUAGUUGUCUACACAUCUAUGGUUGAUAUGUUUUGUAGAAAGAACAUGCUUGAUCAUGCUUGGAAUCUUAUCAAGAACAUGAUCUCAGAGAAUUGCCUACCGAAUACAGUGACAUUUAACUCAUUCAUCAAAGGUCUAUGUGACAGUGGAAGAACACUUUGGGCUUUGAAUAUCUUAGAUGAGAUGAGAAGGCAAGGAUGUUCACCUAACACCCGGACCUACAAUGAGUUGCUAGAUGGUUUUUGCAGAGAAAAUAAUCUUACGGGUACUUUCCAGUUACUUGAUGAAAUGUUUCACAGUGGAGUUGAAUUAAAUGUUGUGACUUACAACACUAUAAUAAAUGGAUUGAGCAACGCUGGUAUGAUCAAAGAAGCCUUAGCACUUAUUGGAAAGAUGGAGGUAAAGGGAAUUCAACCCGAUUCAGUAACUUUCAAUGCAAUUAUCCUUGCAUACUGCAAAGAAGGAAGCAUUUUGAAUGCCACCAGGCUUGUUGGAGGAAUGGCAGCUGGAAACUGUUUUCUUGAUGUAUUUACAUACACUACCAUAAUCUCUGGCCUUUCAAUUCAACACAGAUUAGAAGAUGCUUUGGUUUAUUUUUUAAAAAUGUUGUCUGAAGGCAUUUGGCCGAAUGCUGUCACAUGGAAUGCGUUGGUUUUUGCUUUAUUUGAGGAGAUAGGUUGUUCUACAGCAAUUCAGUCACUGGAGAAGAUCUUGAGGAAGUAGGUGGUCGCUGAUUGUUGGAUGUUGCUGUUUCCAUUGAUUAAGCUAAAAAGCUAUUCCUGAAUGGAAGGAGAUCUGGAGAUCCAUUGGCUGUGGAAGACUCCCUUGAUGGCCAGACAGAGGCUUCAUUUGGGACGGCUUUGUUACUGCUUCCUAAAGCUGCUUUUUUGUAUAAAUUUUUUAAUUUUUGUACUUAAGAAGCAGUAAGAAAGUGGUCCCAAACGAAGCCAGAGAUUGUGCCUGGAGGCUGAGGUUUUGGCGUCGUUUAGGACGGCUUUUUUACUGCUUCUUGAAACAAAGUUUUAGUAAAAAAAUUAAAAUUUUUGUGUAUAUGGUUCGUCGGACUAUGGCAAGUUAUUAAGGUGCUUCUGCGCUUCAAGUUUCAAAUGGGAACACUGAUUCUUCACCUUUGCUGGGCAUUCUCUGCUUUGUUCCGGGUAGAUAUCUGCUUUCUAUUUUCAGCAAUACAAUUUAUGUUUGAAAUUUCACUCAAAGAUUCAGAUGGAUUGAAUGUUCAAGCUCGAAUGCAAGUCAUGGAGCUUGACUAACGGUCAAAUCAGAUUUGAUUCAUGCUGGCUUGAGAUUCUAUCGACAAGUCAUAAUCCAUAUAUUAUGGUGCUCACUUUUAUGUAAAUAUUAAUGUCUUAUUUUCUUGAUUUCUAAGGAUUCAUUUGGGACUAUUUUUUUA